CACACCGCCCGUCACACCAUGGGAGGUGGGUUUCACCAGAAGCCGGUCGCCUAACCGCAAGGAGGGCGCCGACCACGGUGAGAUUCAUNGACUGGGGGUG
rnacentral:rRNA from 1 species